rnacentral:pre_miRNA from 7 species
UCUUUGGAGAUGACGGUGGUCGCAAAUCUUGGGAUGAGCCCCCAAGAUGAAACCCCCCCAAGGAGGGGAGACCCUCACUAAAGUCUCUGGAUGAUGCAACCCUCCAAGAACUCAUGAGAGACC